UGAGGAAUAUUGGUCAAUGGGCGAGAGCCUGAACCAGCCAAAUCGCGUGAAGGAAGACUGCCUUAUGGGUUGUAAACUUCUUUUAUACAGGAAUAAAAAACGGGGACGUGUCCCUUAUUGCAUGUACUGUAUGAAUAAGCAUCGGCUAACUCCGUGCCAGCAGCCGCGGUAAUACGGAGGAUGCGAGCGUUAUCCGGAUUUAUUGGGUUUAAAGGGUGCGCAGGCGGGCUUUUAAGUCAGCGGUGAAAUCUCGGGGCUUAACUCCGAAACUGCCGUUGAAACUGGGAGUCUUGAGUAUGGAUGAAGUAGGCGGAAUUCGUUGUGUAGCGGUGACAUGCUUAGAUAUAACGAGGAACUCCGAUUGCGUAGGCAGCUUACUAAGCCAUAACUGACGCUCAAGCACGAAAGCGUGGGGAUCAAAACAGGAUUAGAUACCCUGGUAGUCCACGCCGUAAACGAUGAUUACUAGUUGUAUGCGAUAUACCGUAUGUGACUAAGCGAAAGCGAUAAGUAAUCCACCUGGGGAGUACGCCGGCAACGGUG
rnacentral:rRNA from 1 species